UGGCUUUCAUAUGGAGGGAGAAAGUUGGAAUGCCGAACCCCAUCCAUCCACUACUCACCCACUCAUUCUAACCAUUUUCAGUUGAACGUUGGACGUUGAGGAGAACUCCUCUCUGGCUGUUGGGAAAUUCCUCAACCCUUUUGUGACCAGAUGAUCGUUAUUAUUACCAUUAUGACGAGCGAACCCACAACCACCACCGUCGUCGCCGAUGUCGAUGUCGAUGUUGAGAGGGUUGUUGUCGGCGUUUUCUCGGACAAUCCAGGAUCUCACUUAGCAACCCAGAGCUAACUCGUCGAGGAUUGGCAAUUGGCAUUGCUCUCGGCUGAUUUGGUCUGGUUUGGUGGCAUUUGGAAAAUGGUUGGAGAAGGAAAUGGAGAGAAAAUUGAAAAGCAUCUGCGGUAUAACCACCAUUGCUCUCAUUGCUUGCUGGAAUGAUGAUGAUAAGCUGAAGUUGUUGGACGGCAAAUGUGACCCAUUGAAAUGGAAUGCCCUUUCUCAUUCUCGGUUUGAUCUCGAUCAAAAUUUGUAAGGUCACCAACUUCCAAAUGCCCUCUGACCAGAUCGGAUCCAGGCUCAAUAACAAUCUUCAAACUGAUUUAAUACUCAACAUUUGGGCUCUAAAACCUAGACCCUGUCAUUCAAUCAUCAGUCGCGGAUUCUCCGAUCAAGGAAGUGAGAUCGGGAGCAAAUUCGAUGUACCCCAUAAUUGUUAUUAGUCAUUGAUCAUUGAUGGACCCCCACCUGGAUCGAAGCCGGAAGGGCAUAAGAACCAAGACGGAUCACCAUCACAUGUCAAAUGACCAUGUGUCUCUGUGGUGGAAUGGAAUAAUUUCCAUCAAUUGAAAACAGAAGAGCUUGACCGAGGUGAAAAGGUGGUUGCACGGUCGGAUCUGCGAGCUCAUUGAACCACAAUGGAUUUGUUAUUGCACUUGAAAUGUGUUUGCAUUACGUCCAUUUCCGGUGGUCAUUGCUCGUUGGAUGAGCAUAAGUCCCCCAUCUGGAUGAUGUCCAAUUGUCCGAUUGUCCAUAGGGAAGUGAGGGUGUUCUACUGUACGUACAUUGACUGUGGUCGGUCAAUUUCACAGCAAUUAGCCAUUCAGUUUAUGAACGAUGACAGUGACGAUAAUAAGCCAUCACGAUAAGAACUCAUCCCUCACCUGGACUCUAAAGCGAUGAACAAAAGGGUUUUGUCUAUCUUCCACUUGGACCCGGUGAAUUAGUUCAAAUCCUAAAUUUUUUGAACAAUCUUUGGCUUAAAAAAAAUGCGCUGGACCUGAAAAGGAGGAUCCAUUUUGCUCGAGAGGUUUAAAACGAUAACCAUGCCAUGUUACUUUUGGCCAAAACCAUGGUUUUCAUGCGUAUCUGAUUGAUGAUAAUUUAGACAUAUUGACGUACAAAUCACCCAUUUACAUUUUGUCUUUUCAGCUCUUUCAAAUAUAUUGUUCACACCGA